AGGACGAGAGCUUCUCAGGUUAGCCAAGAUGACUGCCCAUGAAACCACAAACAGCUCUGAGAAACCUCAAAACCCUGCGUGAGGACACAGGCAAGUCAUUCUUGGCUACCAAAGACAGGCUCUCAUCU
rfam:Musa acuminata subsp. malaccensis Doubled-haploid Pahang (DH-Pahang) genomic chromosome, chr7